CUUUUGUUUUCUGGCUUCAUUUUAGCGGAGGGCUCCCAUCUAAGCUUUUGGGAGGGAAAACCAUAAAAACCCACAUCACGAUUCACAGGUCAGUUUCUCUUUUAAAGGAAUUAUCAGAUGAGCACUAUAGUACAUAGAACUCCCAAAUCCUCUGGGAGUCGGUCAUUAUUUUUCCAAGAUUUGGCAUCCCCUGUCUCUGCCCAUAAAGGGAAAUUCUCAACACCAGGUCAGGCAGCUGCAGUAUCUGCUCUAUGGCGUGACAAUUUUGGCGGUUUAGAUCUUCCACCCCCUCCCAUGUAUACCU
rnacentral:misc_RNA from 1 species